GAUGAACGCUAGCGGCAGGCUUAAUACAUGCAAGUCGAGGGGCGGCACGGUUAGCAAUAACUGGUGGCGACCGGCGCACGGGUGCGUAACACGUAUACAACCUACCUAUAACAGGGGGAUUGCCUUUCGAAAGAGAGAUUAAUACCUCGUAAUAAAUUGAGUGGCAUCACUUGAUUUUGAACGCUCCGGCGGUUAUAGAUGGGUAUGCGUUUGAUUAGCUAGUUGGUGAGGUAACGGCUCACCAAGGCGACGAUCAAUAGGGGAUCUGAGAGGACUAACCCCCACACUGGUACUGAGACACGGACCAGACUCCUACGGGAGGCAGCAGUAAGGAAUAUUGGUCAAUGGAGGCAACUCUGAACCAGCCAUGCCGCGUGCAGGAUGACGGCCCUAUGGGUUGUAAACUGCUUUUAUACAAGAGAAAACCCCGGUACGUGUACCGGGUUGAUAGUAUUGUAAGAAUAAGCAUCGGCUAACUUCGUGCCAGCAGCCGCGGUAAGAC
rnacentral:rRNA from 1 species